CAGAGAGUAGUUUAAUUUAGAAUUCUAGCUUUGGGAGUUAGGGGUGGGAGUUAAAAUCUCCUCUUUUUGA
rnacentral:tRNA from 1 species